GGUUGCAGAGUUUACUGGAAACUCAAUACAUCGAGGAUCUUAGAAAAGGUACAGCCAAUUAGGUGAGCUCAAGCUGAAUUCUGCUGGUUGUUACGAGGAAAUCAUUGUGCAACUGUUUUGCAAGGGCAUUGAAACUGGUAGAACAAGAUACACGGCAUGUGGAAGUGAAACUGAAGAGAUUAAAGAACAGUUUGGGUUGUUGCUGGGUCUUCUUUAAUUACCUUUUUAAGACACUCCACUUUUCUUUAAAUAACAGCAUGAAGAAGGCCUCAUCUCUGAGAGGGAGCAAAUAAUCCUCUGUCAUGCGUAAGCACGCUUAUGAGAACAAGCCGGAUAUGAAUUUUCAGGAGACAAACCAAGCUGCACAGAAAGGACAGCACACGGGAGAUGAGAGAUGGAGAACAGGUUCUGUAACAAGCGCCCCUGUUUAAAGCGAGUCAGGAGAGGUCUCAGCAGCUAGCUCACCGGCAGAGGGAUUUGCUUUUCAGAGAAGGAAAAAUCUGAGAACACACUCAUUUCUUCUAUGGAUUCAGAAAACCACAGAAACAACUAGAGCCCAAGCCUUUGCUGUUCCCAGCAGGCCAGACCCUUCACUACAGCAAACGUAGCAUGGUUUCUUAUGAAACCCCUGUAUGAAACUGGUAUCUCUACUUAGGAGCUGAAUAAAUCUUCCUGCUGACACAAACUGA